AAUAGCGUAUAUUUAAGUUGCUGCAGUUAAAAAGCUCGUAGUUGGAUUUCGGGUGGGAAUGGCCGGUCCGCCGUUUCGGUGUGCACUUGCUACGCCCACCUUGCUGCCGGGGACGUGCUCUUGAGUUCACGCUCGGGACACGGAGUCGGCGAGGUUACUUUGAGUAAAUUAGAGUGUUCAAAGCAGGCCUACGCUCUGAAUACAUUAGCAUGGAAUAACACGAUAGGACUCUGGCCUAUCUUGUUGGUCUGUAGGACCGGAGUAAUGAUUAAGAGGGACAGUCGGGGGCAUUCGUAUUUCAUUGUCAGAGGUGAAAUUCUUGGAUUUAUGAAAGACGAACUACUGCGAAAGCAUUUGCCAAGGAUGUUUUCAUUGA
rnacentral:rRNA from 1 species